GACGAACGCUGGCGGCGUGCUUAACACAUGCAAGUCGAACGGAAAGGCCCUUCUUUUGUGGUGUGCUCGAGUGGCGAAAGGGUGAGUAACACGUGAGUAACCUGCCCUUGACUUUGGUAUAACUUCAGGAAACUUGGGCUAAUAACGGAUAUGAUCUCCUGCUGCAUGGUGGGGGUUGGAAAGUUUCGGCGGUUGGGGAUGGACUCGCGUCUUAUCAGCUUGUUGGUGGGGUAGUGGCUUACCAAGGCUUUGACGGGUAGCCGGCCUGAGAGGGUGACAGGCAACAUUGGGACGGAGAUAAGGCACAGACUCAUACGGGAGGCAGGAGAGGGGAAUAUUGCACAAUGGGCGGAAGCCAGAUGCAGCAACGCCGCGUGCGGGAUGACGGCAUUCGGGUUGGAAACCGAUUUCGCCUGUGAAGAAGAGUGAGUGACGGUAAUGGGUAAAGAAGCACCGGCUAACUACGUG
rnacentral:rRNA from 1 species